UCCGCAGGUUACCCCUACGGAAGGAUCAUUACCGAGUUUUCAACUCCCUAACCCUUCUGUGAACCUACCUAUCGUUGCUUCGGCGGACUCGCCCCAGCCCGGACGCGGACUGGACCAGCGGCCCGCCGGGGACCUCAAACUCUUGUAUUCCAGCAUCUUCUGAAUACGCCGCAAGGCAAAACAAAUGAAUCAAAACUUUCAACAACGGAUCUCUUGGCUCUGGCAUCGAUGAAGAACGCAGCGAAACGCGAUAAGUAAUGUGAAUUGCAGAAUCCAGUGAAUCAUCGAAUCUUUGAACGCACAUUGCGCCCGCCAGCAUUCUGGCGGGCAUGCCUGUUCGAGCGUCAUUUCAACCCUCGACCUCCCCUUGGGGGGGUCGGCGUUGGGGACCGGCAGCACACCGCCGGCCCUGAAAUGGAGUGGCGGCCCGUCCGCGGCGACCUCUGCGCAGUAAUACAGCUCGCACCGGAACCCCGACGCGGCCACGCCGUAAAACACCCAACUUCUGAACGUUGACCUCGAAUCAGGUAGGACUACCCGCUGAACUUAAGCAUAUCAAUAAGCCGGAGGA
rnacentral:rRNA from 1 species